rnacentral:snRNA from 1 species
CCAGCUUUGCAGCCAUUUGGCUAAGAUUAAGUGUCAGUUUGACCCCUGACAUUGUUCUCCAGCAAAGAGCAACCUGCCUUAAGUGGGUUUUGGACACUGGGAGAUGGGUAUGGGUCUUGCUCCAUCCACUCCAUGCAUUGGUUUGGUAUUGCAUUGCUGCCAGGAGCCGUGGCAAGCCC